rnacentral:rRNA from 1 species
UACGGGGGGAGCAAGCGUUGUUCGGAUUUACUGGGCGUAAAGGGCGCGUAGGCGGCCACCGCAAGUCAGUUGUGAAAUCUCUGGGCUUAACCCAGAAAGGUCAACUGAUACUGCGGGGCUAGAGUGCAGAAGGGGCAACUGGAAUUCUCGGUGUAGCGGUGAAAUGCGUAGAUAUCGAGAGGAACACCUGCGGCGAAGGCGGGUUGCUGGGCUGACACUGACGCUGAUGAGCGAAAGCGUGGGGAGCGAACAGG